rnacentral:tRNA from 1 species
GGAGAAAUGUCUGAGUGGUUUAAGGUACUGGUCUUGAAAACCAGCGUAACGAUAGUUACCGAGGGUUCAAAUCCCUCUUUCUCCU